CCUACGGGUGGCAGCAGUGGGGAAUAUUGCACAAUGGGGGAAACCCUGAUGCAGCGACGCCGCGUGAAGGAAGAAGUAUUUCGGUAUGUAAACUUCUAUCAGCAGGGAAGAAAAUGACGGUACCUGACUAAGAAGCCCCGGCUAACUACGUGCCAGCAGCCGCGGUAAUACGUAGGGGGCAAGCGUUAUCCGGAUUUACUGGGUGUAAAGGGAGCGUAGGCGGCGAUGCAAGUCAGAAGUGAAAGCCCGGGGCUCAACUCCGGGACUGCUUUUGAAACUGUGUUGCUAGAUUGCAGGAGAGGUAAGUGGAAUUCCUAGUGUAGCGGUGAAAUGCUUAGAUAUCACGAAGAACUCCGAUUGCGAAGGCAGCUUACUAAACUGCCACUGACAUUGAUGCUCGAAAGUGUGGGUAUCAAACAGGAUUAGAUACCCCUGUAGUC
rnacentral:rRNA from 1 species